rnacentral:rRNA from 1 species
UAGAGUUUGAUCCUGGCUCAGAUUGAACGCUGGCGGCAGGCCUAACACAUGCAAGUCGAGCGGUAACACAGGGGAGCUUGCUCCUUGGGUGACGAGCGGCGGACGGGUGAGUAAUGCCUGGGGAUCUGCCCGAUAGAGGGGGAUAACUACGGGAAACUGUAGCUAAUACCGCAUAAUGUCUACGGACCAAAGUGGGGGCUCUUCGGACCUCAUGCUAUCGGAUGAACCCAGGUGGGAUUAGCUAGUUGGUGAGGUAAUGGCUCACCAAGGCGACGAUCUCUAACUGGUUUGAGAGAAUGACCAGUCACACUGGAACUGAGACACGGUCCAGACUCCUACGGGAGGCAGCAGUGGGGAAUAUUGCACAAUGGGCGCAAGCCUGAUGCAGCCAUGCCGCGUGUGUGAAGAAGGCCUUCGGGUUGUAAAGCACUUUCAGCGGGGAGGAAGGGUCACUAGUUAAUACCUAGUGGCAUUGACGUUACUCGCAGAAGAAGCACCGGCUAUCUCCGUGGCCACCAGCCGCGGUAAUACGGAGGGUGCAAGCGUUUAUCGGAAUUACUGGGCGUAAAGCGCACGCAGGCGGUUUGUUAAGUCAGAUGUGAAAUCCCCGAGCUCAACUUGGGAACCGCUAUUUGAAACUGGCAAGCUAGAGUCUUGUAGAGGGGGGUAGAAUUCCAGGUGUAGCGGUGAAAUGCGUAGAGAUCUGGAGGAAUACCGGUGGCGAAGGCGGCCCCCUGGACAAAGACUGACGCUCAGGUGCGAAAGCGUGGGGAGCAA